CUGCUCACUUCAUCAGCACAUAUGCUAAACUGGAAUGAUACAGAGAUUAGCAUGGCCCCUGAUGCACAAAUAUGUGAAGCGUUCCAUAAAUUU
rnacentral:snRNA from 1 species